rnacentral:rRNA from 1 species
UACACACCGCCCGUCACACCAUGGGAGUUGGUUUUACCUGAAGACGGUGCGCUAACCGCAAGGAGGCAGCCAGCCACGGUAAGGUCAGCGACUGGGGUG